GACAGAGGCCCCGAGCGUUAGGCGGAAUCACUGGGCUUAAAGCGUGUGUAGGCGGAUCGUUAAGUGUCUUGUGAAAUCCCACGGCUCAACCGUGGAACUGCUGGGCAUACUGGCGAUCUUGGGCCAUUCAGGGGCGACCGGAACAAGCGGUGGAGCGGUGAAAUGCGUAGAUAUCGCUUGGAACGCCGAAGGUGAAAACAGGUCGCUGGGGAUGUGCCGACGCUGAGACACGAAAGCCAGGGGAGCAAACGAG
rnacentral:rRNA from 1 species